rnacentral:tRNA from 1 species
GGAGGUAUAGCUCAGAGGUAGACUGCAUGCCUAGCAUGCACGAGAUCCUGGGUUCAAUCCCCAGCACCGCCA